AAAACAUUAAGUCUGUGCUGAGAGAAAUCGACUUUGAGAGCGUUUUUAUGAUGCUGUUCUACUGAAGUUGCAUUAAAAAUGGAUUUACAUUUCCUUGGUUGUGGUGUGGAUGUUCAUCGAAGUCGACUAGAUUCCUUGAAAUAAAACAAGCUUCGUAGAUUGCUGGCGAACACCAAUUUUGUUUUUGUGGAGGAUAUCUUUAUUAUAUUGCUUACCAUAGGUCGAAAGUCGUAAA